rnacentral:rRNA from 1 species
UCCUACGGGGGGCAGCAGUAGGGAAUCUUCCACAAUGGACGAAAGUCUGAUGGAGCAACGCCGCGUGAGUGAAGAAGGGUUUCGGCUCGUAAAGCUCUUUUGGUAGUGAAGAAAGAUAGAGGGAGUAACUGGCCUUUAUUUGACGGUAAUUACUUAGAAAGUCACGGCUAACUACGUGCCAGCAGCCGCGGUAAUACGUAGGUGGCAAGCGUUGUCCGGAUUUAUUGGGCGUAAAGCGAGUGCAGGCGGUU